UCAUAUGCUUGUCUCAAAGACUAAGCCAUGCAUGUCCAAGUAUGAACGCUUCGUACUGUGAAACUGCGAAUGGCUCAUUAAAUCAGUUAUAGUUUAUUUGAUGGUCGUUUUGCUACAUGGAUAACUGUGGUAAUUCUAGAGCUAAUACAUGCACAAGGUCCCGACUCUCGGAAGGGACGUAUUUAUUAGAUCCAAAACCAGCGCGGGUGGCCUCUCGGGGUGCCCGGUACCUGGGCGAUUCAUGGUAACUGCUCGAAUCGCACGGCCCUGGCGCCGGCGAUGGUCCAUUCAAAUUUCUGCCCUAUCAACUUUCGAUGGUACGGUAGUGGCCUACCAUGGUUGCAACGGGUGACGGAGAAUUAGGGUUCGAUUCCGGAGAGGGAGCCCGAGAAACGGCUACCACAUCCAAGGAAGGCAGCAGGCGCGCAAAUUACCCAAUCCCGACUCGGGGAGGUAGUGACAAUAAAUAACAAUGCCGGGCUCUCGUAGUCUGGCAAUUGGAAUGAGUCCAAUUUAAAUCCCUUAACGAGGAACAAUUGGAGGGCAAGUCUGGUGCCAGCAGCCGCGGUAAUUCCAGCUCCAAUAGCGUAUAUUAAAGUUGUUGCAGUUAAAAAGCUCGUAGUUGGAUUUCGGGGCAGCCCGGGCGGUCCGCCGCGAGGCGAGCACUGUUCGGGCGCCCUUCCUCUCGAAGGCUUCGACUGCUCUUGAUUGCGGUGGUCGAGGAGUUCGGGACGUUUACUUUGAAAAAAUUAGAGUGUUCAAGGCAGGCGUUGGCCUGAAUACAUUAGCAUGGAAUAAUGGAAGAGGACCUCGGUCCUAUUUUGUUGGUUUCCAGGGCCGAAGUAAUGAUCAAGAGGGACAGUUGGGGGCAUUCGUAUUUAAUUGUCAGAGGUGAAAUUCUCGGAUUUAUGAAAGACGAACAAGUGCGAAAGCAUUUGCCAAGGAUGUUUUCAUUAAUCAAGAACGAAAGUUGGGGGUUCGAAGACGAUCAGAUACCGUCGUAGUCCCAACCAUAAACUAUGCCGACUAGGGAUCGGCGGAUGUUAGCGUCUGACUCCGUCGGCNCCUUGCGAGAAAUCAAGAGUCUUUGGGUUCCGGGGGGAGUAUG
rnacentral:rRNA from 1 species